rnacentral:rRNA from 1 species
AGCAGCCGCGGUAAUUCCAGCUCCAAUAGCGUAUAUUAAAGUUGUUGCAGUUAAAAAGCUCGUAGUUGAAUUUCGGGAUCAAUAUAUUGGUCAUGCUUAGGUAUGUACUGGUAUUAUUGAUUUCUCCCUUCUGAAGAACCAUGAUGUCAUUAAUUUGAUGUCGUGGGGAAUCAGGACUGUUACUUUGAAAAAAUUAGAGUGUUUAAAGCAGGCUUUCGCUUGAAUACAUUAGCAUGGAAUAAUGAAAUAGGACGUUUGAUUCUAUUUUGUUGGUUUCUAGGAUCGACGUAAUGAUUAAUAGGGAUAGUUGGGGGCAUUAGUAUUCAAUUGUCAGAGGUGAAAUUCUUGGAUUUAUUGAAGACUAACUACUGCGAAAGCAUUUGCCAAGGAUGUUUUCAUUAAUCAAGAACGAAAGUUAGGGGAUCGAAGACGAUCAGAUACCGUCGUAGUCUUAACCAUAAACUAAUGCCGACUAGGGAUCGGAUGA